rnacentral:lncRNA from 1 species
ACACCCCACGCUCAAGGCCCAUCAGCGCUAAUCCAUUCCCAUUUUCAUUUUUCUUUUUUAAUUCACAUUUAUUUUUCUGUUUUGAUUUUAAUUGAUAUAAAAUAUUUUCUUUGUCCACAAAAAUAUCCAAAAAUAUUUUCCAUAUUUCUUGAUGCAUUAUUUAAUUUUAUUUAAUUUUUAUUUUCGUAUUUAUUUAAUGUUAAUAUUUUAUUUUAAUUAUUCUUUCCAAGUGGUUC